rnacentral:lncRNA from 1 species
UCUUUGUGGAAUAAAAUUAAAGAAUGCUUAGAAGAAUAUUUCUAUGAAAAGAUACUGGAUGAAGCACAAAUACCCAGGAUAUUUCACUAAUUUCAUGGAGUAUAGAAGCCAAAACUUUAACCGACUGAGUAUAAUAGAAUAUAUGAAACUACAAAUAGAUUUUCGCCCGCCAUGCGGUAAUCCACGUAGACAGAUCAUUUCCACAAUUUAAUAAGGAAUGAAUACGAAGGAUCAUUCACCAUGCAUGUGGUAGUCCACAUAGACAGGUUAUUCCAACAGAAUAAUAAAGAAUGGAAUAACAGAAGAAUUCACCAUGCAUGCGGUAGCUCACGUAGACAGGUUAUUCCAACAAAAUAAUAAAGAAUGGAAUAACAAAAGAAUUCACCAUGCAUGCGGUAGCCCGCGUAGACAUGUUAUUCCAACAGAAUAAUAAAGAAUGGAAUAACAAAAAAUUCACCAGGCAUGCGAUAGACCACACAGACAUGUUAUUCCAACAGAAUAAUAAAGAAUAUAAUAACAGAAGAAUUCACCAUGCAUGCGGUAGCCCGCGUAGACAGGUUAUUCCAAUAGAAUAAUAAAGAAUGGAAUAACAAAAGAAUUCACCAGGCAUGUGAUAAACUGCACAGACAGGUUAUUCCAACAGAAUAAUAAAGAAUAUAAUAACAGAAGAAUUCACCAGGCAUGCGGUAGCCCGCGUAGACAGGUUAUUCCAAUAGAAUAAUAAAGAAUGGAAUAACAACCCUUACAAGUAUUGAAAGAAAAUAACUCUCUUCAUGAAUACGAAAGAAAUAAUACCCCUUACCUUAGAAGAAACUGGAUACUGGAAUAGUAAGGUAGCAGACUUCUCUUCUUCUUUCUCUCUAUGAUUUCUCUAUAUAAUAAUUGCUCUUGUGAGACUUAGUGAAUUGAUGAGAAAUGAAGGAGGAAUGAACUUCUAUUUAUAGGAAAAUAUAUUUUUGAUAAUUGCAUGUUUUGGGAAUCGAAAUAUUAUAGUAUAAUACCUUUCUCUUUUUCUUCAUUUUUAAUUUAGUCCUGCAAGUAUUAUCAAACUUGCACCACCUCCCCUAAUAGUAAAUCAUGUGAAUCAAUAGUACACACAUGUGAACACAUAGUUAUAAGCAUGUAAAUUAAUAGCAAUUAAUUGCUCAUUUAUCCGGUUAAUUAUCCGAUUGGUCAAUAUAACCUCCAG